rnacentral:lncRNA from 1 species
GGAGAUUAUAAAAUGAAAAUUUUCAAUUACAAUUCAUAGUGUUUAGAGAUUAAAAAAGGGGGAAAAUCUUUGAUACGUAAUAUUUGAUGCUAAGUUAAUAAAGUUGGAUGAGAUAAUGAUUAGAUCAAAACAACGGUAUAAAUUCUACACAUUUCAGAAUUUUAUACCCUAAUGUUCAUGUACAAAUUUCGUAUACUUACAAAGAUGUCAAGAUUUCAUGACUCGUGUCUUGUUGUAUCUCUAUCAUUCCAAUAUCAAUACUUGCGUGUAGUCUCUUAUUAAUUUAUUUUCUUCAAAUAAAGUCGAGAAAUGGAAUAUAGAUUAAAUAAGUAAAUGAAGAAAUAUAGGAUAAUUUUUAGUUACAAUUCAUACUAUAUUGAGAUUAAAAUGGAAAUUUCGAAGCCCCCAAAUUGUGCCCUCAUUUAUAAGUAGUCACUUUGUUACCAUUGACUCAUGUUAUUUGAUGACAAGCUAAUAAAAUUGAAUGAAAUAUAACUGGACCGAACCAAAAGUAUAAAUUCUGUUACUUUCAAAAAACUUCACCCUAGUGUCAUGUAACACUAUCUUAUGCCUUCUACCUUUAUUAUCCUAGUGUGACUCAAAAGUCAAACUUUUAGGGGGUGCACUAGAGUUCAUCAUUUAUGUUAUUAAUAGAAUAAAGCCCCCUGUCCCGGCUUGGGGACUGGGUUGAAGACAAGGGCGCCACAUGAAGCUUGGCCGACACCCCCUCCAAUAGGGGGACGCCACCCUAUUCCCAAGUCGGGACAGGGAGCAAGGUUGUUAU